CUUCUUUCAUACCUCCCUGAUUGAUUGGAGGUCCAUCUUUCCUCAGUCCAUCUUUCUUCGGACCUCCCUGAUUGAUUGAAGGUCUGUCUUUCUUCAGACCUCCCUGAUUGAUUGGAGGUCCAUCUUUCUUCAGACCUCCCUGAUUGAUUGGAGGUCCAUCUUUCUUCGGACCUCCCUGGUUGAUUGAAGGUCUGUCUUUCUUCAGACCUCCCUGGUUGAUUGGAGGUCCAUCUUUCUUCGGACCUCCUUGGUUGAUUGGAGGCCC